ensembl:lncRNA
AUUACUGAAACGUGACACUGCAUGUGUUCAAGCAUCGUCUUUGCUAAAAGAGCGAGCAGUUAAAAGUCGAUAUGAAGAAGAUUUUCAGCAGAAAGAAGAAGAUUCGGAUGAGUGAGGGCAAGAAACCCUUAAUAGAAAAUAACAACAACAUACAAGACGGACAUGACUGUGCAGGUCAUGGGUAUGAGAACCCUUUGGCCCAGAACUCCUUUAACUCUGCAGAGGAGCAAUCCAUGCAGAGACAACAAAGCAGCUCACUUAUGGAUCUCAUUCAGUGUCUUGGGGUGUCCUCUGAAAGCCUUUACAACCUCAUAGAGGCUAAUUUGGGACAACAGAGUGUCAUUGAAUGGUCCAACCCUCAGACAUUCAAUAUCCUGAACAAAAUGCUCCAGGAGAUCAAAUCUGUCAAGCAAUGCCUGCAACUGAUGGACUGGGUCCAACAUAAAUAUCCGAGCAGGGAGUCUGACCAAAAGCUGUUCUGUGAAUGGAAAGACAAGGCAAAGGAGAAGCUGCUUCAAAGUGUGCAGAAAGAGAUCAGAGAGUCCCUGGACAAAAUCCUGCAGAAUGAGACCGGCAUAGCUCCAAACUGCAUAGAAGAAGAUUAUGUUAAACUUUAUGUGGACACUAUCCAGUGUAUUAAUGCCGUACCCAGAGAAGCACAAAAACUCCUUCCAGAACUGCACGAUGAAGUGCAAGAAAUUUGUUUCCAAGAGUUUCGAACAUUUGUCAAGAGGUACAGUGAAGAGCAGUAUGUCGAUCUUAAAAAAUGGGCACAAACUGACAACCCAGAAACAAUACACUUCCUCAAAACACUGAAAACAUGUAAGGAACUCAGGAAGUAUGCUCAGACGAUUGGUACGGGAGUCACACCUUCUCUUGUCAAAGAAACUGUGGAAACACUGGAGAACCUGGAGCAGUCUACUUUAACAUUCCUGAUGGAAAUUAUAACUGUUAUUGCAGAGAACCACUUUAAAGAUUUCUUCAGAUCGGGCAGCAACUUGAACCACUUUGUUUACAGUGUUUACAGUCACUUCCCCACACUGCCCUAUGUUAUGGAUGAGAAAAAAGAGGUGGUGGAUGAGGCCUAUAAGAUCAUCGCCCGCACUUAUGUCGAACAUCUUAUAACAAACAAGCAGAGAACCCUGAAGGGCCGAUGGGCUCCUAAUAUUGGUGAACAAAUACAUGAAGAUGCAAACCAUCUUCACAAGAGCAUUUCACUCUUGGCUCCCGGUGUCCACGAGUGGCGCAAGAUGAUGCUGGGCAUCCAAGAGGUGUUGGACUGCACAUCCAUUGAUGCACUGAAGAUAAUAAUGGCACGUCUACAGCAGGACUAUUUCAGAAAGAGUGAGGACUUCAAGUUCCUGAACAAGUUGCUGAAGUGGAAGGGUCUUUCUAAUGGCGAUGUCAACGAGGUGCUGGACGCUCUUCCCGGCAGUGAAUCCAGACCUAUUUGCAGGUCCUGUUUCUCCUGCCUUACCUGCUGGUGACGGCUUAGUUGGGCAACACGGGAUGAAGCGCAACAAAAAGAUCAAUGCUGAUUGUUACAUGUUUGUUUAUGAAACAUAAAAAAGACAGCAGGUGGAGUUUGGCUGCGGGAGCAUUAUAAGCUGUGCAAUUUCAAAUGGCACAAAAAAGUUUUGGUGAAAGAGCUUUUUAGUGACAUUUAGUAGCAGCAAAAUGUGUGUUUUUUACUCUUACUCUGUAUUACAGUAAACAACAGUAAUGGUUGUUUAUGUACUUGAAUUUGCUUUGUUUACUGAAGUUAGUGAAAGAAAUAUUUAGAUCAUGUUUUUAAAAAAUAUUUUAAUAUUUAUUACAUUUUAUUUAUGAAGGUACAAACAUACAUUUCUACAGAGUGAGGCGAUUUAAAAGCCCACCUAUUAUUCCGUUAUCUACACUGAGACUGCUCCUGCCUUGUUAAUAAACAUGCAAAACCUCAUUGUCUGAUAAUGAAGCACAAGCUCCUGGGAUUAUUUCUACUGCCUAGCAAGCUGUAAUAUUACAAAUUCCAUUAAAAAUUCUCAAAAAAGGAGACAAAUGCUCACACACAGGUCCCGUUUAAUGACCCGAAGUAGCAGAUGAGUCAGAUGAGCAUGAGCUGCCUGUGUAAGUCAUCACUGCCCCCUGAUGGGGACUCACUUCCCCAGCCUGAACUGCAAUUUUUGCCACUUCAGCUUUGGCCUCAUUUUUCUGCUGUUGACAACUACUUACAACACACACACACACACUCCCUAAACUGCUAAUUUUGAACAAGAAAAACAAGGAAUAAUUAAAAAUAGAUAUGAUGAGUGUAAAAAUAUAACACAGGCUGAAUGCAACACAGUUGCUACAGUCCAGGCUGUGAAGUAAAGUUACCACAAAGCUGUAAGAGUGUGCAUGUGCAGGUUAAUGGAACAGUGAAGGCAUAACUGCAGCUGUGUUAUUCCCUUAAACGAACGUGUUGCUUAGAUGUAAUCUUUGGGCAUCUAGAAAAAUUGUAGCUUUCUUUCAGUUGUAACCUUUGACCCUGGCUUCUCUGACAGACACGAUGGAAAAACAAUCUCCAAGGAAAUACCUGAGUCUGUUGCUAGAAAGCCAUGAUCCAUAGAGUAAGCAGUCAGCAGACUAGUUGAUAGGUUCCUGUAGCGUCUCAAAUGUGGCUUAUACUGUUUCCAGGACAUGGGAAUGUAUGGUUUUGAUGCAGUUUCUUUGUUCUAUUUCUGUUGAAGAAACCUGACUUUUGUUGUCCUUAGUAAUUCUGAAUUUUCUUUGAACUGUGUACUGUUCUUCAGAUUAUGUGCCUUCUACACAAAAUCUCAACGUUCUGAAAUUGCUUUAAUCUUUACCUGCUACUUUGCGUGAACCUCCUCCAUCAGCUCUGGUUUAUGGUUUUUCGUUUUAAGCCUCUCUGUUCAAUGACUUUUCUUCGUGAAAGAAAUGAUUCUGUACAUUCCCACGAUCGUUCUGUUGCUAAAGACUGACUGUGAUGAAUAAACUUCAAUUUAAAAACAAAUGGCAGUAUAGUCUUUGCGCCACCAGCAAACACCACUAGAUGGAGACCAACAUCACCAUGGUAAAAUGAGACUAGCUGGUCCCAUGUUCUAGUUUUCAUAGGGAGAAAAAUCUGACGAAUCUUUAGACAAAACAAACAGUAAGUUUAUUAUGUUUUGCAACACUAUGGAUAUUUCUCUUCUUCAGCUAUAAACCCAGCCCUUUAAAGCCAUGUGUAUACUGUCCAUGCAGGCAUACAGGUCC